rnacentral:misc_RNA from 1 species
GAUGAAGAACGCAGCGAAAUGCGAUACUUGGUGUGAAUUGCAGAAUCCCGUGAACCUUCGAGUCUUUGAACGCAAGUUGCGCCUCAAGCCAUUAGGUUGAGGGCACGUCUGCCUGGGCGUCACAUAUCGUUGCCUGAUGCCAGUUUCCUCGUGAUGGGUGACUGUGCAGGGCGAAUGAUGGCUUCCCGUGAGCAUUGUUGCCUCAUGGUUGGUUGAAAAUUGAGUCCUUGGUAGGGAGCGCCGUGAUAGAUGGUGGUUGAGUGACGAACGAGACCCAAUCAUGUGAGACCCCUACCGAAUUUGGCCUUCAUGACCCACAUGCGUCUUUGGAACGCUCAUGACGAGACCUCAGGUCAGGCGGGGCUACCCGCUGAGUUUAAGCAUAUCAAUAAGCGGAGGA